GAUGAACGCUGGCGGCGUGCCUAAUACAUGCAAGUCGAGCGAAGCGGGGACGGGUGAGUAACACGUGGAUAACCUCCUAUAAGACUGGGAUAACUUCGGGAAACCGGGUCUAAACCGGAUACUUGGGCAUGGGGCUUCUCGGCAUUAGCUAGUUGGUAAGGUAACGGCUUACCAAGGCAAGGAUGCAGAGCCGGUCUGAGAGGGUGAGCGGUCACACGGGAACUGAGACACGGUCCAGACUCCUACGGGAGGCAGCAGUAGGGAAUGUUCCGCAAUGGGCGAAAGCCUGACGGAGCAACGCCGCGUGCGUGAUGAAGGUCUUCGGAUUGUAAAACUCUGUUAUUAGGGAAGCGGUACCUAAUCAGAAAGCCCCGGCUAACUACGUGCCAGCAGCCGCGGUAAUAC
rnacentral:rRNA from 1 species